GUCUUCAUGGCUUAGUUGGUUAAAGCGUCGGUCUCAUAUUCAGUGGAAUAUGAUCAACUCUAAGAGUUGGGAUAUCCGAAGGUCGCGAGUUCGACUCUCGCUGAGGACA